GAUGAACGCUGGCGGCGUGCCUAAUACAUGCAAGUCGAGCGAACAAACGAGGAGCUUGCUCCUCUGACGUUAGCGGCGGACGGGUGAGUAACACGUGGAUAACCUACCUAUAAGACUGGGAUAACUUCGGGAAACCGGAGCUAAUACCGGAUAAUAUAUUGAACCGCAUGGUUCAAUAGUGAAAGACGGUUUUGCUGUCACUUAUAGAUGGAUCCGCGCCGCAUUAGCUAGUUGGUAAGGUAACGGCUUACCAAGGCAACGAUGCGUAGCCGACCUGAGAGGGUGAUCGGCCACACUGGAACUGAGACACGGUCCAGACUCCUACGGGAGGCAGCAGUAGGGAAUCUUCCGCAAUGGGCGAAAGCCUGACGGAGCAACGCCGCGUGAGUGACGAAGGUCUUCGGAUCGUAAAACUCUGUUAUUAGGGAAGAACAAAUGUGUAAGUAACUAUGCACGUCUUGACGGUACCUAAUCAGAAAGCCACGGCUAACUACGUG
rnacentral:rRNA from 1 species